rnacentral:lncRNA from 1 species
UCGGUAUUAGUAUUAGCCUUGGAAUUUGUAUUGGCAUUGGGACUGGUAUUGGAUGGUUAAUUAAUUGUGGAUUUAGGAUUGUAUUAUAGACUUGUUAUCAUGUCUUCAAAUUAAUACUAUUUUAUCUUGUUAUAUGUUUUGGAAUUCAUCCGACAUAGGGUGAAGGAUGGUCAAUGGUUUAGGUAUUAGGGGUGGUCUACGGUCCUGGUCGGACUUGAGAUACCCCAC